AGUGCACCAAGAGUCUUCUUUACACUGCAUUCUACUCCAAGACGCUUCAGGCUGCUCCAUGACACUUCUUGACGAUGCAUCUGCUCCAGGACGCUUCAGGCUGCUAUACUACGUAUCUAAGUGCAUCUACUAUUAAAGAUGUACCAAAUUUGUUAUAUAUUGUUUUUGUAAUCAAUUUUAUUUUAUAUCAGUUUUUGAAAUCUAUUUUCUCUACUAAUAAUGCAUGUAUAAGAUGAGAUGAGAAUCUGUAUCAAUUGUUAUACAUAUACAUAUAUGGAGUCAUAACCAAAUCUUAAAGUGCAAGUAGAAGAUGAGAUGUUAAGUCUGAACCAAAUUUAAAUAAAGAAAAACACCAAAUCAUAGUCAAAACAAAACCAAGCAACUAAAACAAGAAAACACAGAUUGUAAAAUUGAAAAACGCCAAAUCAAGAUAACAAUUCAAGCUUCCUCA
rnacentral:lncRNA from 1 species